GGAGCGGUUCGGGUGGUCGCGGCAGGGCCGUAUUGACGGUGCUGUCGAGGAAAGUCCGGGCUGCACAGGGCAAAAUGCCGGAUAACGUCCGGCGGGGGCGACCCCGGGAAAGUGCCACAGAAAACAGACCGCCAGGCGUGCCUGGUAAGGGUGAAACGGUGCGGUAAGAGCGCACCGCCCCGCACGGCAACGGGCGGGGGCACGGUAAACCCCAUUUGCAGCAAGGCCGCAUAGGGAAGCCUCAAGCGUGGCCCGCGCAUGCUUCCGGGUAGGCCGCUCGAGCCUGUCAGCAAUGGCAGGCCCAGAUGAAUGACCACCGCUUCCGUGAUAAGGAAGCACAGAACCCGGCUUACAGAACCGCUCCGCAU
rnacentral:RNase_P_RNA from 1 species